rnacentral:lncRNA from 1 species
AUGGUGGUACCAGCUUACACCAAAGGGGUCGCUGGUCGGCUCAACCUGCAAUGUGGUCAAACCUUAAACCACACGCUGGGUUUCUUCCAAUCCUCACCUGAAUGUGUGGAACUCGGACUCACAUUUGAAGCCACACCUCUCACUGAAAUGUCAUCUUGUAUAGUCUACAUCCUGUGCAACAACUGCAGGGCAACGGACAUCAACAUUCCCAAGGCCUACCAGCUGGGAUGGCUAGUGAGCCAUGACUUUAAUGACUUUGAACUAGUACUACCUGUCAUUGAGCCCAUUCCACCUGCACUGAUACCCGAAGGGAGUACAAACAACACAUUGUACACUGCACCCUUCAAAUUUGUCGCCAUCACAUCUCUCAUGUCGGUGAGCAAAGACCAGGUGUGCAGAAUGGAUCUGACAGAUGACCAACACCUCACAGUAUACACAGUCUCCCACCAGAACGUCAGUGAGGCUGAUGAAGCUGCUACACCUCUCAAUACCAAACUGACAUUAACACUUGGCGACCGUCAGUUCACCUUCAACAGGUGUCUGUUCGACUAUGCCAACUCACCAGCUGAAUUCAACAUCUGUUUGAACAAAGCCUGUACAGACUCUAACUAUGCUAGACUCAGUUUCGUGUGCCAUCUUCCAUGCUGUAAACAGAAUGGUUUCAAAACUGCAAACAACAAGCAUGUCAAACACCAACACCUGUUCCAGCAAUGUGAUAACAUCACAAAAACACACAAUGUGACCAUGUACUGGAGGAAGGUAAAAGAACACUCGAAGCUACUAAGUCUAGACAAGGACUUAAAAGAUCAAUCUGACACCCUUGCCAAUACUGGCACACUAAACAACAUUCUGUGGUCACUCCCAACCCACCCACCCACAUUCAAAGUUGUAGUGAUUACACACAGCAUGAGAACUUUACUAGCUAAACUGUCUACCUCAGAAUCGCUUACGCUGGCUCCGUUGUCUACACUGACCAACAUAGUGGACAUGCAGGCUUCUGAAACCUCCAUAAUGACUUUGCUUUACCACCUCUCAGACCCCUCCAUCCACCCUGGCAACCAGUCUACAGUCACUGACAACCAACGCCCCAGACCACUGCAUGAUACACAAAACAUGCUGCGUGCACAGAACAAUAUUGUGGGUUGUGCACCGUCUGACAUCACAAUGCCAGGGCUUGUAAUGCCACGGAGCAAAAGGGGGAUAAUGCCAAUAUAUUUCCAUGACACAGCAUGUACUGCACCACGCAGCACCAGAGCCACUGACAAAACAUUGAAGCAACCGUCAUGCCAGCAGCAAGAUGUGGCAAAACAUGGGGCAGGGUGA